UACUAUGCGGUUGGAAUUCUGCAAUGUAUCUUUCGUCGUAGAGAUGAAAACUUUGUGACGAAAGGUUUAUGCAGCAAUAUAGGAACAGUUUUUUUUUUUGAUUUUUGAAUACGGAUAACUAAAUUGCAGUAGCAGUAAGGUAGGAAACCAGAACCUGUUGCAAUUCACGGGGAGAUCAAAGGAUGAUCCGCGGUGGUGGAGAUGAUGGCGAAAUUUG
rnacentral:lncRNA from 1 species